rnacentral:lncRNA from 1 species
GAGUAUGGAGUCUACAAAGAUGAUCAGGGAUAUGCAAGAGAUGUGGAUGGAUACAUCAUCCAUGUGUCUAAGGAUGAUAUCAGAAAGCUAAUGGAAAGAGCUUCGAGCUUCGUUGAGAUGAGAUCAAUAUAUGGGAAGAGAAAGACAUGAGAAGUUGAGUAUGAUGAAGAGGCGUACAUGGCGUAGUAAUACUAGUUACCCGAGUAACUUC